rnacentral:lncRNA from 1 species
AAUUGUCUUAUAAUGAUAGUAUCUUGUACCUGAAUCGGUGGCUCACUUUUUCUAAGUAAUGGAGAAGAGGAUCGAAGCAUGCCACUAAAAGACUCUACUGAGACAAAGAUGGGCUAUCAAAAACGUAGAGAAGGUAGGAUGGGCAGUUGGUUAGAUCUAGCAUGCAUCAUACAUGGACGGUAGUUGGAGUCGGCGGCUCUCCCAGAGGUCCCUCAUUUGAGAUCCCUGGGGAAGAGGAUCAAGUUGGCCCUUGCGAACAGCUUGAUGUACUAUCUCCCUUCAACCAUUUCGUUGAAGUA